GACGAACGCUGGCGGCGUGCUUAACACAUGCAAGUCGAACGAAGAGCGAUGGAAGCUUGCUUCUAUCAAUAUUAGUGGCGAACGGGUGAGUAACGCGUAAUCAACCUGCCCUUCAGAGGGGGACAACAGUUGGAAACGACUGCUAAUACCGCAUACGAUCUGACCUCGGCAUCGAGGAUAGAUGAAAGGUGGCCUCUAUUUAUAAGCUAUCACUGAAGGAGGGGAUUGCGUUUGAUUAGCUAGUUGGAGGGGUAACGGCCCACCAAGGCGAUGAUCAGUAGCCGGUUUGAGAGGAUGAACGGCCACAUUGGGAUUGAGACACGGCCCAGACUCCUACGGGAGGCAGCAGUGGGGAAUUUUCCGCAAUGGACGAAAGUCUGACGGAGCAACGCCGCGUGAGUGAUGACGGCCUUCGGGUUGUAAAGCUCUGUUAAUCGGGAC
rnacentral:rRNA from 1 species